UUCUAGAUUAAAAUUAAUUCAUUUCCAAUAACAAUCUCAUUACUUCAUCUUCCCGAUUCAGUGUGAAUACUUCGACUCAUUCGACCCGUGGCUACAAAGAGUCAGCAAAUGACUGCAGCAUAUUUGUUGUCAUGUUCGGUGCAAUCUUGUUUCUAUGAUUCAUUUUGUCAAAGCGCUGUGUUUUUAGAGGCUAAGCUUACUAAGCUUCCAAUAACGGCUUCAAUGGAUAUGUCGGUUUGGACUACAGCUAGCAACACAGAACCUAAGCCAAAAUAAAAAUAAUAUAAAACAGUUCUAAUUAUUAGUAUGAUGGCAGCUAUGGCUUGAACAGCAACAAAUACUAUAGAGAAAAUAAGUGGGAUGUUUUAAAUUCACGCAUCACUGGAUGAAUAGGAUCAAUAUUUGUAAGAAAAGGGCGAAAAAGUCCAGUCAUUGUUCAUAAUGGCUGAUGUAAGCCAUUGUUCAUAACUUAGUUUUGUCUUGCGUAUCCUUGAAUUCCUGGUUCAGUAUUCUCACAUGGCGGCGCAGAAGGCGAUAUUGAAAAUCAUGACCAUGAACGAUGAAAAGACAAAAAAGAAAGCAAUAGAGGCUGUUGCCGACAUAUAUGGUAAUAAUAAUCAAGAAAACACCCCCUUUUUUUGGGUCUAAAUUGAUUUGAUGAAACAUCAUGUGUUUGGGCGAUGAAGAGGGGUUGAUUCAAUCGCGGCAGAUGUGAAGGAGCAAAAGUUGACAGUCAUAGGGGAGAUGGACACGGUUGCCAUUGCCAAAAAACUCACGAAAAUAGGGAAAGUAGACAUUGUUACAGUGGGACCUGCUAAAGAAGAGAAGAAAGAUGACAAAAAAGACAAGAAAGAUGAAAAGAAAGACAAAAAGAAGGGUGAAAAAAAGAAAUGAUUAUAAAGUUUGAAGCUUGUAUUGUUGCCUUUUUUUAUAAAAAUAACUUUAAAAGUUUCAUUAUUUAUAAAAA